GACGAACGCUGGCGGCGUGCUUAACACAUGCAAGUCGAACGGAAAGGCCCUGCUUUUGUGGGGUGCUCGAGUGGCGAACGGGUGAGUAACACGUGAGUAACCUGCCCUUGACUUUGGGAUAACUUCAGGAAACUGGGGCUAAUACCGGAUAGGAGCUCCUGCUGCAUGGUGGGGGUUGGAAAGUUUCGGCGGUUGGGGAUGGACUCGCGGCUUAUCAGCUUGUUGGUGGGGUAGUGGCGUACCAAGGCUUUGACGGGUAGCCGGCCUGAGAGGGUGACCGGCCACAUUGGGACUGAGAUACGGCCCAGCCUCCUACGGGAGGCAGCAGUGGGGAAUAUUGCACAAUGGGCGGAAGCCUGAUGCAGCAACGCCGCGUGCGGGAUGACGGCCUUCGGGUUGUAAACCGCUUUCGCCUGUGACGAAGCGUGAGUGACGGUAAUGGGUAAAGAAGCACCGGCUAACUACGUGCCAGCAGCCGCGGUAA
rnacentral:rRNA from 1 species